rnacentral:rRNA from 1 species
AGCAACUAUACGGACUGGGUCCGGAACCUGAGGAUCAUCCUCAUAGCUGCCAAGAAAGAUUAUGUCCUAGAAGCACCGCUAGGUGAUGCACCCAUCCCAGAGAACCAAGACGUUAUGAACGCUUGGCAGUCACGUGCUGAUGAUUACCCCCUCGUUCAGUGCGGCAUGCUUUACAGCUUAGAACCGGGGCUCCAAAAGUGUUUUGAGCAACACGGAGCAUAUGAGAUGUUCGAAGAGCUGAAAAUGGUUUUCCAAGCUCAUGCCCGGGUCGAGAGAUAUGAAGUCUCCGACAAGUUCUUCAGUUGUAAGAUGGAGGAAAAUAGUUAUGUCAGUGAGCACAUACUCAAAAUGUCU